GGAUAGCUCAGUUGGUUAGAACAUGGUGGUGAAAAUACCAAGGUUGCAGGUUCAAUCCCUGUAAGGGACA